AGAUUAUUAAUAAACAAUGUGACAGUUGAUGAUUAUGGAGUGUACCACUGUGUAAAGCAAUACGAAGAUAGAUUUGUAUUCAGCAAUGGCACCAGACUCAUGACUACUGCAGGUUUAGGAGAGAAGGCUGUGGCGAACCAUCGUCUUAAAACAUGCACCAACCCACGACAAACUGCAACUACCUCUAACUACAAAUUGUAUUUGUUCAUUAUAUUUAAAACCUGCUUGAUUCAUGUAAAUGAUCAAUUACAUUAACAAAUACACUGGUUUAUUGGAUAUUUAUACCACAGAAUUGGUGAAUACUUUUUCCUGAUUGACUAGAAGUGAGUUCUAGAAUGGACAUAAAUUACUGAUAUACAGGACAGUUGGAUGGACAUUAAUUUCAGAUAUAAAAGACAUCUAAUCAUGAUGUAAAAAACCUCUAAUUAUGUCUUGUGUGUUGUUAUCAUUUAUAAUUCUAGUGGUUUUGUGGCAUUCAUGUCAUGCUUAUGUGUCCUGCAUAUCUCAGCCAGCAUGGCAAUGGGUCCAACAGCAGAGGAAGGUGAAGAUAGAAUCGAAGACCACUCAUUGACUCAUUUCUGACAACAAGGAAGAGUAAAUCAUCUGUCUUUGCUUGUGUUAUUGUAUUUUGUCAGUUGGAUAAUAUUUAUUGUUUGUUUCAAUUUAUAGUACAUUUUGUUUCUCUUCAUGAUUUCACAAUUCUUCACCAUUUGAGAAGAAAAUAACCCAGUGAACAGUAAAGCAUACAUAUUGGCUUGCGUUCUUAUAUUUUAAUUAUUAAAAAAAUGUCCAGUUUGAUAAUAUUUCUAAAUUUGAUCAGUUGAUAGCUGGAACAAAUAUUUCAAUGACUGGAGACGGAUAGAACUCUAUAAGUAGUAAAAUAACGGGUUAUCAUGGUUAUUGCCAUUGAAGACCUACAAUGUACACUUUAGUAACUAGAUGGGAUUUUCUACUUUAUCCUUUCUGAUGGUAAUGAAGUCCCACGCAAUUCUGAUUUUAAUUUCUGUGCUGUUGACCAACUUGGGAUUGUGAGGUGGGU
ensembl:lncRNA